rnacentral:rRNA from 1 species
GGGUUGUGAGGUUAAGCGACUAAGCGUACACGGUGGAUGCCCUGGCAGUCAGAGGCGAUGAAGGACGUGCUAAUCUGCGAUAAGCGUCGGUGAGGUGAUAUGAACCGUUAUAACCGGCGAUUUCCGAAUGGGGAAACCCAGUGUGUUUCGACACACUAUCAUUAACUGAAUCCAUAGGUUAAUGAGGCGAACCGGGGGAACUGAAACAUCUAAGUACCCCGAGGAAAAGAAAUCAACCGAGAUUCCCCAAGUAGCGGCGAGCGAACGGGGAGGAGCCCAGAGCCUGAAUCAGUGUGUGUGUUAGUGGAAGCGUCUGGAAAGGCGCGCGAUACAGGGUGACAGCCCCGUACACAAAAAUGCACAUACUGUGAGCUCGAUGAGUAGGGCGGGACACGUGGUAUCCUGUCUGAAUAUGGGGGGACCAUCCUCCAAGGCUAAAUACUCCUGACUGACCGAUAGUGAACCAGUACCGUGAGGGAAAGGCGAAAAGAACCCCGGCGAGGGGAGUGAAAAAGAACCUGAAACCGUGUACGUACAAGCAGUGGGAGCCUCUUAAUGGGGUGACUGCGUACCUUUUGUAUAAUGGGUCAGCGACUUAUAUUCUGUAGCAAGGUUAACCGAAUAGGGGAGCCGAAGGGAAACCGAGUCUUAACUGGGCGUUAAGUUGCAGGGUAUAGACCCGAAACCCGGUGAUCUAGCCAUGGGCAGGUUGAAGGUUGGGUAACACUAACUGGAGGACCGAACCGACUAAUGUUGAAAAAUUAGCGGAUGACUUGUGGCUGGGGGUGAAAGGCCAAUCAAACCGGGAGAUAGCUGGUUCUCCCCGAAAGCUAUUUAGGUAGCGCCUCGUGAAUUCAUCUCCGGGGGUAGAGCACUGUUUCGGCAAGGGGGUCAUCCCGACUUACCAACCCGAUGCAAACUGCGAAUACCGGAGAAUGUUAUCACGGGAGACACACGGCGGGUGCUAACGUCCGUCGUGAAGAGGGAAACAACCCAGACCGCCAGCUAAGGUCCCAAAGUCAUGGUUAAGUGGGAAACGAUGUGGGAAGGCCCAGACAGCCAGGAUGUUGGCUUAGAAGCAGCCAUCAUUUAAAGAAAGCGUAAUAGCUCACUGGUCGAGUCGGCCUGCGCGGAAGAUGUAACGGGGCUAAACCAUGCACCGAAGCUGCGGCAGCGACACUAUGUGUUGUUGGGUAGGGGAGCG